ACUCCUACGGGAGGCAGCAGUGGGGAAUAUUGCACAAUGGGCGCAAGCCUGAUGCAGCCAUGCCGCGUGUGUGAAGAAGGCCUUCGGGUUGUAAAGCACUUUCAGUCGUGAGGAAGGUAGUGUAGUUAAUAGCUGCAUUAUUUGACGUUAGCGACAGAAGAAGCACCGGCUAACUCCGUGCCAGCAGCCGCGGUAAUACGGAGGGUGCGAGCGUUAAUCGGAAUUACUGGGCGUAAAGCGCAUGCAGGCGGCCUGUUAAGUCAGAUGUGAAAGCCCGGGGCUUAACCUCGGAAUUGCAUUUGAAACUGGCAGGCUAGAGUCUUGUAGAGGGGGUAGAAUUUCAGGUGUAGCGGUGAAAUGCGUAGAGAUCUGAAGGAAUACCAGUGGCGAAGGCGGCCCCCUGGACAAAGACUGACGCUCAGAUGCGAAAGCGUGGGGAGCAAACAGGAUUAGAUACCCUGGUAGACUGUCA
rnacentral:rRNA from 1 species